AACUGACAUCCUUUCUUAACAGUUACAAUUCUAGUUUUGCAUCAGUCGUUUUAUUCUUACAAAUUUCAUCAGUAGUUCUUAGUGUUUUUAUUGCUAAAUAAUGGCAAGUUUGGUACUUCGUUUUUUCUUGUUGUCUAUCGUUACUUGUAACUUGCUGGCAGUAGGUCUUGGUAAAACGUGCGAAAGAGACCAAGAUUGUAACCCGGACCAGUGUUGCGCCGGUGUUAUAGGGGGAAACGCAUGUGUAAACAAGGGUGAUCCUGGAUCGGAAUGUCGACCAGAAAAUACAUAUCAUCAGUUUUUUUGUCCUUGCAAACUCGAAGGCACAUGCAAGGAGCCAUCAUCUGAAGUUGUAUUUGCAAGGCAACGUCCCACAUGUAGCCAUCCCAAUGGAACAGUCGAUAGCUUUUUCCAUUGAUGAUUAUUGUAUUAAUAAGAUUAUCAAAUGAAGAUGCUAUAUUUAUUAUUCCAUACGUAUUGUGUUGUUAAUUGAAUUGAAUGUAAAGUUGAAUUAGAA